rnacentral:misc_RNA from 1 species
GAAAAGGGUCGCAGAAGAAAAGCUGAUCCGAUCAGAUCAUCCGAGGGAGGCCCGGGUGAGCUGUGCAGCGAGCAGAAGGACGGAGAGGAGAAAGGUUGGCCAGAAAGGGCAGUGCACUUAGGAGGAUGCAGAGAAAGGAGGCGACGCACGAUAAGGUUCCUGAUACUCGCUCGCUCGCUCGCUCGCUCACUCACUCAUUCAGAUGCCGCCAAGAGGGCGUACCGUGGAGCGGAGAUGCCUUUCUUCUUCGGGGGGUCUUUUGCUUUUCUUCCUCACGGGAAUGAGGAACCUGCUGUCGCUGCUGCUUGGCAGCGGGAGGAAGACGGAGAAGG